CCUACGGGGGGCUGCAGUGGGGAAUUUUGCGCAAUGGGCGAAAGCCUGACGCAGCAACGCCGCGUGAGUGAUGAAGGCCUUCGGGUCGUAAAGCUCUGUCGGGAGGGAAGAAAUGAUCGAGGGUUAAUACCUCUUGGUCUUGACGGUACCUCCGAAGGAAGCACCGGCUAACUCCGUGCCAGCAGCCGCGGUAAUACGGAGGGUGCAAGCGUUGUUCGGAAUUAUUGGGCGUAAAGCGCGUGUAGGCGGUCUUUUAAGUCUGAUGUGAAAGCCCC
rnacentral:rRNA from 1 species